UACGUAGGGGGCAAGCGUUGUCCGGAUUCAUUGGGCGUAAAGAGCGUGUAGGCGGCCAGGUAGGUCGGUUGUGAAAACUGGAGGCUCAACCUUCAGAGGUCGACCGAAACCAUCUGGCUAGAGUCCGGGAGAGGAGAGUGGAAUUCCUGGUGUAGCGGUGAAAUGCGCAGAUAUCAGGAAGAACACCCGUGGCGAAAGCGGCUCUCUGGAACGGUACUGACGCUGAGACGGCGAAAGCGUGGGGAGCGAACAGG
rnacentral:rRNA from 1 species